UUGAUGAGAACGGAGAUCCUCCUGCUGCCUAUGACAUUAUAAACUGGCAACUCAACAAAGGAGUGGUCAGCCAUGUGACAGUGGGUCACUUUGAUACAUCACCAGAUGGAGGCAGUCAGCUAGUGAUUGAUGAGGACAGUAUUGUCUGGAGCACUGGGAGAGAGGUUCCCAAAGCAGUGUGUUCUGAGAGCUGCCCCCCAGGCACAAGAAGAGCAGCCAGGAAAGGCCAGCCUAUCUGCUGCUUCGAUUGCAUUCCUUGUGCUGAUGGUACCAUAGCAAACACCACAGGUGCAGCUGAGUGCAUUAACUGUCCACAGGACUACUGGUCUAAUGAUGCAAAAGACAGCUGCAUCCUCAGAGACAUUGAGUU